GUGUGCAAAAAAUAUCGCAAAAUUGCUGGUAUUGAAAGUUAGAAUCUUAAUUUGUUGAAAUGUAAAUAACUUUUUUAGCAAUUAAUAAAAAUGUCUGAUUUUCCUCCAACCUUACAUAAAAAAAUGGAUGCAUUUGAGGAGUCAUUAACAGAAGUUGAAGAUGUUUUAAAGCCAUUUUUAAAGAUUCCUAUUGCAGAUUUGCAUGAAAAGAUAACAGAUCAUUUGGGUAAAGCAAAGUUAGACUUGAUAAUUGCAUAUACUGCAAACUCGCUGUUUUGGACUUAUUUAGUAACACAGGGGAUGGACCCAAAGAAUCAUCCAAUCAAAGAUGAGCUUAUUCGAAUCAAACAAUGUAUGAAUCGUGUCAAACAAAUUGAAGAAAAGAAAAAAAUGUCAAGGGUAGAUACAAAAGCUGCAAAAAGGUUUGUUACAAGUGCUUUGUGGGAGCCAGCUGAAGAUACGGAAGUAAAAAAAAAUGGUGCUGAAACUAAUUCAUCCAAUCAAAAUGAUAAUGCAGAAUCCAAAUCAUCUAGUCAAAAUAAAGAAGUGGAAUUUAAACUAUCUCGUCAAAGCAAAGAUGCUGAAUCUAAAUUAUCCAAUCGGAAUUAUGAUGCAGAUUCUAAAUCUUCUGAUUGUUUUUCUAGUCGAAAUGACAGUUCUGAAUCUAAAUUAUCAAGUCGAAAUGAUAAAAAAAGAAAAAAAGAUAACAAUGACGAUUCUAUAAAAAAGAAAAAAAAGAAAAAUAAAAAGAAACUAGAAAAUGAUUUGUAGCCUUAUCAAAUAUUUUUCAUUAAUAGUCAAGAUACAUGUGAAAAUGAA